ACGCACGCUGGCGGCAUGCCUCACCCCUGCCAGUCGAACGAGACCUUCGGGUCUAGUGGCGCACGGGUGCGUAACGCGUGGGAACCUGCCCUUAGGUUCGGAAUAACUCCCCGAAAGGGGUGCUAAUACCGGAUAAUGUCUUCGGACCAAAGAUUUAUCGCCUUUGGAUGGGCCCGCGUUGGAUUAGCUAGUUGGUAGGGUAAAAGCCUACCAAGGCGACGAUCCAUAGCUGGUCUGAGAGGAUGAUCAGCCACACUGGGACUGAGACACGGCCCAGACUCCUACGGGAGGCAGCAGUGGGGAAUAUUGGACAAUGGGCGAAAGCCUGAUCCAGCAAUGCCGCGUGAGUGAUGAAGGCCUUAGGGUUGUAAAGCUCUUUUACCCGGGAUGAUAAUGACAGUACCGGGAGAAUAAGCUCCGGCUAACUCCGUG
rnacentral:rRNA from 1 species